CAAGAUGCGCUUAUUAUAGAAUUGGCAUGACUAUUGAUAAAUGUGAAGCGAAUCUUAAAUACAGAUUUAAUUUGGAUAAUGGAUAUGCUAAUGUCGAAUUUUCAUAUA